CAAGGCAACGAUGCAUAGCCGACCUGAGAGGGUGAACGGCCACACUGGGACUGAGACACGGCCCAGACUCCUACGGGAGGCAGCAGUAGGGAAUCUUCCGCAAUGGACGAAAGUCUGACGGAGCAACGCCGCGUGAACGAUGAAGGUUUUCGGAUCGUAAAGUUCUGUUGUUAGGGAAGAACAAACUUCGUUUGAAUAAGGCGGAGUCAUGACGGUACCUAACGAGAAAGCCACGGCUAACUAC
rnacentral:rRNA from 1 species